CUGGGCAAUAGAGUGAGACUCCAUUUAGAAAAAUAAAAAAUAAAAAAUCAGCCAGGUGUCAUGGUGCACGCCUGUAAUCGCAGCUACUCGGGAGGCUGAGACAUGAAAAUUGUUUGAACCUGGGAGGUGGAGGUUGCAGUGAGCCGAGAUGACACCAUUGAACUCUAACCUGGGUGACAGAUCAAGACUCUGCCUCAAAAAAUAAAAAUAAAACUACAAAGCUCACAGGUAACAGAAAAUCAGAAAAACAUUUUUAAACAAGACCAUAAGGAUACAGCAUUAGGCAAAAAAUGGUGAGGAAUUGGACUACAUCCAAAUCAAGAAUUUUUCAAGUUGACAAUGGAAAGCAUGACUUUACAAAUAAUCUCAUGUAAUAAUGUUGAAGAGAAAAGACUUAUAGGUAUUCUGUGGCACAAAUGUAAUUACUGGUUCAGGUAAGGAUUAUCAAUUUGUGUGUCAUUGAUAGGUAACUGCCUUAAUACAGUGGCCAAAUACCAUAUGCAUUAUUUUAUAGUUAGCAACAAGGAAAUGUAACAAUGAUAGAGAAAUCAAACCACCAUCCCCUAGAUCCAGGGGCCAAUUAUGAACGUCAUUAAUGACGAGUCAUAUUAACAAUAUUAUGGGUUGCUUGAUGUGGCCCAACGUGAAAUACAUACAUAAUAUUACCUAAAAUGUAUUCUAAACAAAAUGUUUAAUAUCAGUCAUUUUAUUUAUUUUAUUAUUUAUUCAUUUAUUUUGAGACAGAGUCUUGCUCUGUUGACCAGGCUGGAGUGCAGUGGUGCAACCUUGACUCACUGCAACCUCUGCCUCCCAGGUUCAUAUAAUUCUUCUGCCUCAGCCUCCUGAGUAACUGGGACUACAGGCACCCACCACCACUCCCAGCUAAUUUUUGUAAUUUUUUAUUUAUUUAUUUAUUUAUUUUUGAGAUGGAGUCUCGCACUGUUGCCCAGGCUGGAGUGCAGUGGCACGAUCUCGGCUCACUGCAACCUCUGCCUCCC
rnacentral:lncRNA from 1 species